rnacentral:rRNA from 1 species
AUUGAACGCUGGCGGCAGGCCUAACACAUGCAAGUCGAGCGCGAAAAUUCCUUCGGGAGUGAGUAGAGCGGCGGACGGGUGAGUAACGCGUAGGAAUCUACCCAGUGGUGGGGGACAACCUGGGGAAACCCAGGCUAAUACCGCAUACGCCCUACGGGGGAAAGCGGGGGACCUUCGGGCCUCGCGCCAUUGGAUGAGCCUGCGUCGGAUUAGCUAGUUGGUGGGGUAAAGGCCCACCAAGGCGACGAUCCGUAGCUGGUCUGAGAGGACGAUCAGCCACACUGGGACUGAGACACGGCCCAG